GUGGGGAAUAUUGGACAAUGGGGGGAACCCUGAUCCAGCCAUGCCGCGUGUGUGAAGAAGGCCUUUUGGUUGUAAAGCACUUUAAGCGAGGAGGAGGCUCUUCUAGUUAAUACCUAGGAUGAGUGGACGUUACUCGCAGAAUAAGCACCGGCUAACUCUGUGCCAGCAGCCGCGGUAAUACAGAGGGUGCGAGCGUUAAUCGGAUUUACUGGGAGUAAAGCGUACGUAGGCGGCUUUUUAAGUCGGAUGUGAAAUCCCUGAGCUUAACUUAGGAAUUGCAUUCGAUACUGGGAAGCUAGAGUAUGGGAGAGGAUGGUAGAAUUCCAGGUGUAGCGGUGAAAUGCGUAGAGAUCUGGAGGAAUACCGAUGGCGAAGGCAGCCAUCUGGCCUAAUACUGACGCUGAGGUACGAAAGCAUGGGGAGCAAACAGGAUUAGAAACCCCUGUAGUCC
rnacentral:rRNA from 1 species